rnacentral:rRNA from 1 species
AUUGAACGCUGGCGGCAUGCUUUACACAUGCAAGUCGAACGGCAGCGGGGAGGAGCUUGCUUCUCUGCCGGCGAGUGGCGAACGGGUGAGUAAUACAUCGGAACGUGUCGAGAAGAGGGGGAUAACCGCCCGAAAGGGUGGCUAAUACCGCAUAAAUUCUGAGGAAGAAAGCUGGGGACCUAGGAAUAGGCCUAGCGCUUUUUGAGCGGCCGAUGUCGGAUUAGCUAGUUGGUGAGGUAAAGGCUCACCAAGGCGAAGAUCUGUAGCGGGUCUGAGAGGAUGAUCCGCCACACUGGGACUGAGACACGGCCCAGACUCCUACGGGAGGCAGCAGUGGGGAAUUUUGGACAAUGGGGGCAACCCUGAUCCAGCCAUGCCGCGUGUAUGAAGAAGGCCUUAGGGUUGUAAAGUACUUUUGUUAGGGAAGAAAAGUCAGCUGUGAAUAAUGGCUGAUACUGACGGUACCUAAAGAAUAAGCACCGGCUAACUACGU